ACUCAAAGGAAUUGACGGGGGCCCGCACAAGCGGUGGAGCAUGUGGUUUAAUUCGAUGCAACGCGAAGAACCUUACCAGGUCUUGACAUCUGUAGAACCUUUAGGAAACUAGAGGGUGCCUUCGGGAGCUACAAGACAGGUGGUGCAUGGUUGUCGUCAGCUCGUGUCGUGAGAUGUUGGGUUAAGUCCCGCAACGAGCGCAACCCUUGCUAUUAGUUGCUAACAUUAACGAUGAGCACUCUAAUGGGACUGCCCGUGACAAGCGGGAGGAAGGUGGGGAUGACGUCAAAUCAUCAUGCCCUUUAUGAUCUGGGCUACACACGUGCUACAAUGGAUGGUACAGAGAGCAGCAAAGCCGCGAGGUAGAGCGAAUCUCAUAAAGCCAUUCUCAGUUCGGAUUGCAGUCUGCAACUCGACUGCAUGAAGUCGGAAUCGCUAGUAAUCGCGAAUCAGCAUGUCGCGGUGAAUGCGUUCCCGGGCCUUGUACACACCGCCCGU
rnacentral:rRNA from 1 species